GGUUGCUUUCAUUUCUUUAUUUAUUUUAUCCUCUCACUUUCUCUCUACAGUUCUCAGAUGAUCAUGGCCUCUGCCUAUAUCUCCCGUGGGCUUCCACCUUUCCACUCACAGACCUAUCUCCUCUCUUUUACUUCUCCUGAAGCCACCAUGUUCAUCAUCAUGCUGCAUGACUCCCUUCUUUGUGAUCUCUGAAAAAGUAGGGCAGCAUGCUGAUUCUUUGAUAUGGCUUGAGGAAGUAGGAAGGAGGAAUUAGGGUUUGGACUUGGCAACUGUUUCUUCAGCACAUCCCAAGGGAAGUGAAGAAUCCUGCUAGGGUUCUCAUUCUACUGUUUGAAGAACACUUUCUCUAGAUUCUCUCUCUCUCUCUUUUUCUCUCCACAACACAGUACUACUAUAUAUCCUUUAGAUCAAGAGGUGGACAUGGGAGGCCACUCGUCUUUGGCUCUGCGUCAGAGUGCAUUGAUGGAGAAAGGUGGCGGUGGGGGAAGGCUGAUUCACAUAAUAUCACAUCGCAUCAGUCUUUAAAGUAUGAGGCCUGUUGUUUACUGCACUCGUGCAGUGUUU